rnacentral:rRNA from 1 species
GCCAUGCCGCGUGUGUGAAGAAGGCCUUCGGGUUGUAAAGCACUUUUGUCCGGAAAGAAAAGUUCCCGGUUAAUACCCGGGGAUCAUGACGGUACCGGAAGAAUAAGCACCGGCUAACUUCGUGCCAGCAGCCGCGGUAAUACGAAGGGUGCAAGCGUUACUCGGAAUUACUGGGCGUAAAGCGUGCGUAGGUGGUUUGUUAAGUCUGAUGUGAAAGCCCUGGGCUCAACCUGGGAAUGGCAUUGGAAACUGGCUGACUAGAGUGCGGUAGAGGGUAGUGGAAUUCCCGGUGUAGCAGUGAAAUGCGUAGAUAUCGGGAGGAACAUCUGUGGCGAAGGCGACUACCUGGACCAGCACUGACACUGAGGCACGAAAGCGUGGGGAGCAAACAGGAUUAGAUACCCUGGUAGUCCACGCCCUAAACGAUGCGAACUGGAUGUUGGGAGCAACUUGGCUCUCAGUAUCGAAGCUAACGCGUUAAGUUCGCCGCCUGGGAAGUACGGUCGCAAGACUGAAACUCAAAGGAAUUGACGGGGGCCCGCACAAGCGGUGGAGUAUGUGGUUUAAUUCGAUGCAACGCGAAGAACCUUACCUGGCCUUGACAUCCACGGAACUUUCUAGAGA